AUUAUGAUCCAAGUUUAUCUGGGCAUUAUAUAUAUUAUUAUUAAUAUAUAUAUUGAUAUUACUUAUUCUUUUUCAUAAUGUAGGGCAUAAUAAAAGUCAAAAUAAGACACGCAUUAUGCACCUAGAUAUGUCAUUUUUCUAUGUUAAAACGUAUGUAGGUCAGUAUUUAAGACAAUGGAACCUGUCUAAAUCGAAGCCUGAAUCACUUGUAAACCUGUGCAAACAUUAUAUCAUUUCAUCAUAUGUGCUCAAUGCUCAGUAGUCAAGGGGAUAAUAUUUUCAACUUUUAAAGGAUUUAUGUAAUAAUUUCAUCACCUAAUUUAAAGUAAGAUAAUCACAUUUGUUAGCCUGCAUGGUCACAGCGGUGGAAGACCGGAUUGGGUUUUGGAUUUGGGAGAAAAUCGGAGUAUAGUACCUUGAAAAAACACUUAUGUUGAUUUACAUAAGUUUUUAUUUUGGGUCAACAUUAUUUACCUUUGAUUUAUUUUGAUAUUGGUAACAAGAGAUUUCAUAAUUUUUCAAAUUGAGAUCAGACUGUAAUUAUUCAGCCAGGGGAAUUUCCUCAAAUUGUAGCUAUUAACGAUCAUGAUGAAGAUUACCUCCCCUUAGGAUUCAACAAAAGUGAUGGUUUUACGAGUUUGAAUCUUAUUCUUGCCCAUUUCAGAUAUAAUUUUUUGGAAUAAGUUAUGUGUCUGCCUGUCAAGUUAAACUAUUUUACAAUGUAAAACUGCUUUAUUUUCUGCAUUUUCAUCAUCAGAGUUAAUACAUACCAGGUAUUUGGAAAAUGGGAGUAAUAAAAAAUGUAUUUUGGGUGUUAUUUUUGGUAUAUUUCCUCAAGAAUUUUUUUAUGUUUUGAUGUUCCUGUUGCUAAAUGCAGAAUUGAAUGCCAAUUUUAACUGGUUUUGUUCCGUUUAAUCAGGAAUGGAGUGUGUGUAUGGAUGCUGGUGCUGUGGUUGUGAAUUUCUAUAUAGUGAACAUGUUAUGUACAUGUAUAAGAAAAUCAUGAAAAUGUAUGUAAUAUUACCAUUAAACAGUUGUGAGUGCCCUGUUCUAUGGCUUUACUUCCGAUCAAUUUUGCAGUUAACACUUCUGAACCAGAUCAAGACAGUUACAAGUGUACAAGUUCUGCUGUGGAAAAAAAAAAUGAAAAUAUUAGUAAAAUGUUAGAUACAUAUAGUUUCUUUUCCUACAUUACAAUUUGUAUACAUACAUGCACAUUCAAGAGAUAUAUAUGGAGUGUGGUACACGCAAUUUUGUCCAGUUCAUAUUGGUCUUUUUUUUUUUUUUUUGUUGCCAUUGACACCGGUAAGUUUGCUUUAAGUUUCUAAAUUACAUGAAUUGUGUAUCAAAGCAUACUGGGAUCAAAGAACAAAAGUGGUUGUUAUCAUCGUAACUGUGAUAAUUUCAUUUUAUCUUUAAUGUAUGUACCACAUUGAUUCAUUUCCAUCUCUAAAUUUUGUUUUGGGUUUUAGCAAUGAUCUUAAAUAAAAUCCAAUACUGUUAUCUAAUUUUAUGUGUAAUUUAAUCAAGAUGAUUAAUCCAAAUUAUAAUAUCUAUUUUACCUAUUUAAGAAAUUAAAGGGGCGUUCCUUCGUUUGAAUAAAGUUUAGGUCAUCAAAAUUAAACUUACUGAAAAAUAUUUAUUUGUUCCCUAGUAGUUAAAGUUAUAAUCUUUACAUUAAUAAGUCCUGAAAAUUCUUACUGUGACCCAAAGUAUCACUAAUUCGUGCAAAGACAUGCGGUAUUUGUAUAUGAUAUGCCUUUUUCCCGUACAUUUUUUAUGUUAAUUUCAUUACAUGUAGGCACAAACACUCAUAUUAACAUCGUGCUGACAUGUAUUUCAUCAAUAGAAAUUGUGCAUGUCUCUGAUGUCCGAACGAAGGAAUUAAGGUAAUUAUUUAAUAUAUGUAUUCCUGUUCUAGGAUAACUGUGUGCUGUUUGUUACCAUGACAAUAGCAUGUAAUGCUAUCUGUAUCUGUUUUGUAAAAUAUUUAUUAUUAUCUUUUUUUCUUUGCUCAUUCAUCUGACUUUUUUUAGAUUUGUGAAGUAAAUUGUCUGGUAAGAUGAGUGUUUUGGAUUCUGAGGGGGGAAAUGGAAAAUUCAGAGAUUUCUCUCACCUGCCUUCUAUGCAUAGAGAAUUGGAGUGGACUUAAGUCCAGUGUUUUUAUGCAUGCUAAUGACUAACAAUGAAAACCGUAUUUGACCUAAUAAGUGUACAUGUACUGUGAACUACAUAAAUGCAAAAGGGGUACACUCAAUAUUUUUGUUUGUUUGUUUUUGUUUAACGUCCUCUUAACAGCCAGGGUCAUUUAAGGACGUUGGCUUUCUAACUCGCCACCAAGUGGUGGAGGGCUAGUGAUAAAGUGUCGGGAGACCUUAACCACUCGGCCACCGCGGCCCCUGUGCACUUAAUAACCCAGGGAACAUUUUACAUGUGAAAUCUGGUUGGGACUUUUUUUUCUUUUCAUUUACAUAUCUUUAUGUAGCAAAAAUAAUUUUAGGUUGAAAGACUUAAGAUUAUAUUUGCAGAACAGUGAGGUAGGGAACUUUUUUUAUGUGUUUAAAUGAUAGCACACCCAUCUUUUGAUGGGGAUGCUCUUAUAGGGACAGGUGUGCUUAUUCUGUCAAAUACGGUAGAAAUGAGAUUUAUGUCUGUAUUAAAUUGUUCACAUCUGUGAAGGUUAGCUGUUUGUAGUGUUUAGUUAGAAAUCUUCAUGAGUAGAGGAAGUUGUAUAGAUUUAGGAGAAUUUACCCGAUUAGUUAUAAAUUUAUAGGACAUAUAUGAUCAUAGCUUUUCUAUUCAGUAAUAUAUUUUUAUAUUCUGUCCAUAUUAUCCACUAUUUCCUUUAAUGUAAUACUCACCAAAUUAUUUUGAAAAUAAAAUUUCAUAUGGUGAA